rnacentral:lncRNA from 10 species
UUCCGAGUGGUCGGUGUGAGUCUCACUCUGCAGUCUUCUGAUUUGCCCUUUCCGAGUGGUCGGUGUGAGUCUCAGUCUGCAGUCUUCUGAUGUACCCUUUCCGAGUGGUCGGUGUGAGUCUCACCCUGCAGUCUUCUGGUUUACCCUUUCCGAGUGGUCGGUGACAUGCGCCUCCACCUGUGUUUUCCGGCCAUGGGAGAACCCACACCACAUGCUGACCGAUGGCUCGGAGUGCUUCCCUUAUGCUGGGAGGAAAGAAACGAUUUGGAUUUCCUCUGUCUAGAAGUCCAGCUAUCUGCAUGUGUGUUCAGAGGACGUUCUCGUAUCUCAGGAGUGAAACCAAAGCAUCCUGUACAUCUUUCCCCCACCCCCACUCAUAGCCUCGGAUUCUCUGCACAGCUUUAGUAAAGGAGCUGAUGGGGAAUCGGAUGCCUGACCCCGAGUCCUCACUCUGGGGCUCGAGCUUAGGAUAACUUCAGGUUCAGCUGAGGCCUCUGAACUGUGACUCCGCCCCGUGGCCGCAUGCGUCGGAACUCCUACCUGCCCUUUGCCCUUCUCGAGGCCGGUGCUUGACUGGAGGAGGGCUGGCAGCAGAAGUGCAGCUGACCGGGUUGCGUUUUCGUACGGCUGACUAAAGCGGAUACCGGUGGCGACUCAUUUCUCGUUUUAUUUUUCAACGAUUUGGCGGAGAAGCUCCUCUUGUGAAUGGACUUUGGAUUUCUUGGAGCUGCGCUGCGGGUCCCACAGUGUGGCUUUCGGCCCGUGCUGUGCUGGCGCCUGCACUUCCUCUGGCGGGGCACGGGGUGGCGCUCCCUGGUAAAGCAGCGGCCAGGGGGAGCCGUGAGUGAGGCGCUGCCUCUCCCGCUGAAGCGGGUUCCAAGGCCACCGUGAGGGGGACCAUCCAUCCAGGUAAAACGUGUUCUUUCCUUGUUCCUUUGCGAAUCGAUGGGGAUCAGGCUUCCCCAGGUGGUGAAGUGAGGAACAGGGACCGCGGGGCUCGCCUGACCAGUGGGGUCUCCAUCCUUGUCCGUGCUGACAAAAGACAAGAACAGACAGCGCCUGAAAUCUUCCCGCCUCCGUGAGGGAAGCCUGCGUCUGGGAACGCGCCGCAGGGAAGUGAUCCCUGA